UACGGAGGGUGCGAGCGUUGUCCGGAAUCACUGGGCGUAAAGGGCGCGUAGGCGGCCUUCUAAGUCGAACGUGAAAUCCCCGGGCUCAACCCGGGAACUGCGUCCGAUACUGGAAGGCUUGAAUCCGGGAGAGGGAUGUGGAAUUCCAGGUGUAGCGGUGAAAUGCGUAGAUAUCUGGAGGAACACCGGUGGCGAAGGCGACAUCCUGGACCGGUAUUGACGCUGAGGCGCGAAAGCCAGGGGAGCAAGCGGG
rnacentral:rRNA from 1 species